CUAUCAUGCGGACUGUGAGCGCCAGCUGUGGGCAAGGUUUCUCGGCCGGUGAACACAGUCCCGAAGUGGUUAAAGAGUUAAUCAUCGGUUUGCCCACUCCCUCCACAGAGAGUCUCUGGUUUCCCAGUGUGGAGGCCAGUUCUGGUCACUGUAGGGUGAGGGUGGGCCACAUUCUCAGGUGCUCACCACCUAGGGGGACAUUCAGGGACCCAGAUCCUCAGAGAGAUCCUAGCUGUCAUCAGCUGUGGCCCCAUCAUUCUCCCACUCUAUGUCCAGGCUUCUGCCUUGCCCUCACCCCGUCAGUGUGUCAGCACCUGUAGCCUUCUGAUUCUACUCCAGAACUGUCCCUCCUUUCAUUCCUCAGUCCUCCCUCCUGGCAGAUUCUGGUCUCCCUGCUUCCCCUCCCUCCACACUGAAGCCACUGUGGUCUAGCUCAGUCCCUGCCUCACUCUUCUUCACAGGUGGGGCUGUGGCCCAAUGCCCCCACUGGCAUCAAAGCGCUCUGCGGCUGGGUGUCUCACCCACCUCUUGCCCGUCCAGCCCCACUCCUAGCUCAGGUCGUGUGGAGGUCAUUGGGAGUGCCUUCCCUCCACCUUUGCCUACCACAUCUCCAAGGCUAAGGCCAGUGACCAGCUGGCCUCGCCCCUCUGCUGGCUGUACCUCUCCCUCCCCCAGUCUAAGGCAGCUCCAGUGCUUCAUUCAAGGACAAUCACAGUCCAGUGCCAAGACAGUGCCAGGAGCAUGGAACACUCAAGGAACUGCUCCGAGAGCGAAUGAGCGAGUGAGAGCAGGAAUGAAGGCAUGCUGUCUGCCUGGAGUGCAGGACAAUUCCCGCAACCUUUGAGGAUUUUCACAGCCGUCACUGGGAGUGUGUUUGCCCAGCUCAACAUCCAUCUCAAGCAUAUUUUAUAUUUUACAUACCAGGAACCUUUCAAAAAGUAUGUGUUAUAUACUAAAUAGUGGGGGUUUUCUCUCAAUGACAGUUUAUUGUCCUUAUUUUUCUGUUUUUUUCCGCAUUGUUCUGUGCAGACUAGGACUAUAGUAUAGCGAUCCCACUGUACA